UCCAAAAAUUAUUCUUCGCUUAAUCACGUUAAUUUUUUUAAUUAGUAAUUAACACGUUAUAUACGCAGCUUCUUGGAAACUUGUCUGAAUUUUCUGCAAUCAUGCAUAAAUAAGCUAAAUAGUACUCCGCAAAUAGACGAAAACAAAUCAAACUGUGAGAAAACAGAUAAAGAACAAACAAAACAUUUCAAUUUUACGAUUUCCGGCCCCUUCAAUACAUACAUAUAUAUAUAUAUAUAUAUAUCUUCAAACACUGCAGACCUCAAGUUUCAUUCACAUAAAACGCUUUAACUUUUGAACCCCAACAUUCUUUUGUCAACUGACUUGGUUAUUUUGGAUGUGGGUUUUUGAGUAAUACUGAUUUCAAUUUCCGCUUCCUAAGUUCUUCAGCUAGUUCUCUGCUCUGAUUUUUCCUGUUUUUGAUUCAUACGUAUGGGGGGGAACAACUGUAAGUUGGGUUGUGGAGGUUCUAGUGCUGUGUCUGAUUCUAUCUGUAAGUUGGACAAGAAGUUUUCAUGGAUAAAGAAAGAUUACAAAACCUUGGAUGAGGUUUCUGAAGCUUUGAGAGCCAAGGGUCUCAAGUCUGUUAAUCCUAUUCUUGGAUUUUGUUUCACUCAAAGCAAGUGGACAACCGAAAAGAGCUUGCAUUACAUAGGAAAUGACCCAAACGAUUAUGAAAAAGUGGUAUCUAUAAUAGGAAGGACCCUUGCUGCUAUUUGUGGGGAUAACUAUAUUCACUGCUUUGGAUUUGGAGAUGCAACCACACUUGAUACGCACGUCUUUAGCUUCUACGAAGAUAAGAAACCCUGUCAUGGGUUUGAGGAAGUCGUAGAACGAUACAGACAAAUAGCGUGUCAAAUGCGACUGGCAGAUUUAAAGUCAUUUGUACGAAUCGUUGAAAUGGCUACUCGUAUUGCAAGUGAAAAAUGUGACCAGCAUCAUAUUUUGGUCAUGAUUGCCGAUGGACCGGUAACAAGAAGUUCUGACACAGAGCAUGGCAAGCUAAGUGAUGAGGAGCAACAAACUGUAACUGCAAUUUCAAAAGCAAGCAAGUACCCCUUGUCAAUUAUUUUAGUUGGAGUCGGGGAAAAGAAUGCAAACAUGAUGAAAGGAUUAGAGUCUAAGAUCCCUCAUUGUACUACCUUUGAUAACUUUCAGUAUGUCAACUACACGGAUAUAAUGUCUCGUGUGCCAGAGGGUAGAAGGGAAGUCGAGUUUACUCUUGCGGCAACCAAAAAACUACCUAACCAGGUUAUAGCGAUCGAGAAACUAAUUGCUUCAACGAGGUUACGAUGAAUCCUACUUGCUGUUAUGUUUUGACACUUUACAAACAAUAAAGCAAUAGAAAUGGAUUGGGAUUCUACUGCUCCACCUAUACCAGUUAGCGGGACGCCUAACCAGCCUUUGUGAACCAAAUUUAUUUCCAUCUCCAAGACAGAAGUGACUGCCGAGAAGACCCUGAGUUGUGCACACCAGAAAGACUCAAACUAGGCCAAAGAAAAACUAUGCCAUUUUGGCAUUUUUGUUUCUACUGUUCUUCUGGGGAGUUCAAUAUUUGUUGUCUUAAUUUUUUUUCUAUUCUUGGGUAUAUUUGUAUAAAGGUACGGAUUAUAAUGUACAGUUUAGAUAUCCUAAACGACAUACUUGUACAAGUACUAACAUAUCAAAAAAAUCAUUAAAAAAAAGCAUCUGCAACCAUUAGCGAA